GAAUAAAAACCUUAAUGUUUAACAGUGUCUUACUAAAAGUGAAGAGUCCAAGCUAAGCAAGGAUGACUUUAGCAUGUGCUCUGCAACCAAAAUGUAGAAGAGGUCCAUGACUCCUGUGUGCGGCUGCGAGCUGCUGUAAUUAGAUCCCACAACCAAUGUCUCCCCAUCCCUUAUUUUACUGAAAUUCAGAAAUUGGGUGAGAUUGCAAAAGAACCUAUGUCACAAGAUGAUAAUCGAGCAAACUCUAUUAACCCCUGGAUUCAGCAGACAGAAUUCAACUAAAUCAUAUCAUUUAUGACAUAUCAAACAAAGUAUGUUGAUGCAUUCCCUUAGUCACCAAAUUUCUUGUCAAACAGUGAACGAAAAAAGCAUGGAUUGAAGACUGAUUACUAUUUGGUGAUAUUGAACUUUUCUCUCAAGGAACAAGCUGUUCCUCUGUAAAAGAGAUCAAUAGAAACCUGCAAAAUGAAUACAAGAGUCAGGACAAAAUUGCAGCCAUGAAAGUUCCAACCAAGAUAAAUGAAAAAGUAGUUAAGAACUUGGACUUGGUGAGGAUAAGAUUAAUUGUAAUAUCAUAAAGAGUUAAAGAAUUUGUUGCUUGUGUUUCAUAUUACUGCUAAAGAGGAGAAUACUUUCAGUAAUGAUGCAACAGCUAAAGAUAUUAAACAGACAUAAUGAGGAAAUUCA